UGAGGAAUCUUCCACAAUGGGGGCAACCCUGAUGGAGCAACGCCGCGUGCAGGAUGAAGGCCUUAGGGUUGUAAACUGCUUUUAUUAGCGAAGAAUAUGACGGUAACUAAUGAAUAAGGGUCGGCUAACUACGUGCCAGCAGCCGCGGUCAUACGUAGGACCCAAGCGUUAUCCGGAGUGACUGGGCGUAAAGAGUUGCGUAGGCGGUCUGUAAAGCGAAUAGUGAAAGCUCAUGGCUCAACCAUGAAUACAUUGUUCGAACUCACAGACUCGAGAAUGGUAGAGGUAGCUGGAAUUUCUAGUGUAGGAGUGAAAUCCGUAGAUAUUAGAAGGAACACCAAUGGCGUAGGCAGGCUACUGGACCAUUUCUGACGCUGAGGCACGAAAGCGUGGGGAGCGAACCGG
rnacentral:rRNA from 1 species